rnacentral:rRNA from 1 species
UACGUAGGGAGCAAGCGUUGUUCGGAUUUACUGGGCGUAAAGGGCGCGUAGGCGGCAAUUCAAGUCAUCUGUGAAAUCUCCGGGCUUAACUCGGAAUGGUCAGAUGAUACUGUUUUGCUAGAGUGCAGAAGGGGCAAUCGGAAUUCUUGGUGUAGCGGUGAAAUGCGUAGAUAUCAAGAGGAACACCUGAGGUGAAGACGGGUUGCUGGGCUGACACUGACGCUGAGGCGCGAAAGCCAGGGGAGCAAACGGG